CAAGAAAGUCAAAAAAGAAAAAGAGAAGACAUGGGAUUCAGGUUGAGGACCAGGGCAUCCAACAUGGAGAAAGAUGAAAGUCAUGAUGAUGGCUGAGGGGGAUCCUAUGAAGACAGUUAUCCUCAACACACUGAGGGCAGCUAGUCCUAACUGGAACAGGUCAGAGUAUUCUAGAAGAUACUUCUUUAAGAAGAUGGAAUUGAUAGAACCCUCAAUGAAUGCAUGAAGUGUUCUAUCUGAAUGCAUGGAGAGAUGUAACUAUUGACAGAAUUUGGAGCUAAACCAGUGGAUGAACAUCUGGGGUGGACCAGUCCUGAUGUAAUGAAG
rnacentral:lncRNA from 1 species